rnacentral:tRNA from 1 species
GUGGAUGUAGCUCAGCUGGUAGAGUCCCGGAUUGUGACUCCGGUUGUCGCAGGUUCAAGCCCUGUCAUCCACCCCA